rnacentral:rRNA from 1 species
GAACGCUAGCGGCAGGCUUAAUACAUGCAAGUCGUGGGGCAGCAUGAGUAGCAAUACUUGAUGGCGACCGGCAAACGGGUGAGGAACACGUACACAACCUUCCUUCAAGCGGGGAAUAGCCCAGAGAAAUUUGGAUUAAUACCCCAUAAUAUAUUUGAUAAGGCAUCUUAUUAAUAUUAAAGCUUCGGCACUUGAUGAUGGGUGUGCGGCUGAUUAGAUAGUUGGCGGGGUAACGGCUCACCAAGUCUACGAUCAGUAGCUGAUGUGAGAGCAUGAUCAGCCACACGGGCACUGAGACACGGGCCCGACUCCUACGGGAGGCAGCAGUAAGGAAUAUUGGACAAUGGACGAAAGUCUGAUCCAGCCAUGCCGCGUGAAGGAUUAAGGUCCUCUGGAUUGUAAACUCCUUUUAUAUGGGACGAAAAAGGGCAUUCUUGUUCACUUGACGGUACCAUAUGAAUAAGCACCGGCUAACUCCGUG